rnacentral:rRNA from 1 species
GUUUAAAAGAUCGUGAGACUCAAGUUUAGGCGCGCGGUUACACCUCGACAGAUCUUUGAUGAUAACUUCUGGUUAUAUUUCGUUUACCCUGAGAGCGACGACGUGGGUUUCUUCGGUUUGCGACCAGUGCUGUAAGAAGUCUAACUUGCCUAACACUCCUGAAGCAGAAGACAAGAUGAAGCACUUCCUGGUUCCAGGUUUUCUAUGAGUAGUUCGAGUCUUUAAUCUUCAGAGGUCCUCUUUGGGAACCUAAAUCCACACUUUGACUUAUUAGUGUUCCAGAACGCGGGUUUACAAUGUUAGGAGCACGGUUGUUUCGUUAUUUCCUUUUGUUUUUCACCAGCUACUGUUAUUAUUCAGGGUGUCUUGACCCGGGUUACCGUACGGUGGCUGAGUCUGCCCAGAUAAAUAUGCGCUCGGCUGUACACACUGCGUAAACUCAAUGAGCAGAAGAAGCCUACUACUUCACUGUUUGGUUAGUCGACACUAAAAAGGAUGAUUAUUACCAUACGACUGUAGUUAACUCAUGAACCUCGCUCCUCUUUCAAGGUUUCAUGGGAUUUCCAAGCAACCACCCUGUAGAUAGUAGUUCGAGAAUACAGAAAUCGACGGGUUCAUGCGACCGCGUUUGAAGACGAUGCCAAGUUCCAUUAGAACUUUCGUAUGGACUUCGCCACCUUCUCCUAGUGUAUCAAAAGUGAUUGUGUCCAUUAGAACUUUCGUAUGGACUUCGCCACCUUCUCCUAGUGUCUCAAAAGUGAUUGUGUCCAAGGGGUUGUCUUUCGAAACAACGCCUGCUAUUACUCAAACUUCUUCUUCUACUACUCAUGAAGGUAACAGUACCUACGGAAUGAAGGGAUGUACAUAACGUGUUUUUGACGUUCUGGAUAUAUUGUGAUAAGUAGAGUACAUAUACAUCCGCUACUACUUCUGACACUACUGUACUACCUACGUAAAUGUCGCCAAGGACUAGGUAUACUAGCACAGAUGCUCUUAUAUGGACACUCUUCUACCUACUUCGGUCUCGAGCUCCCGGUUGUAACAAUCGUAUCUACCAAAACUCGUUUGCUGAUUUUCUUCUUUCCUCGAGAAACUCCUGACAACACUGUAUCUAGGUCGUUCGACCACUACCACCACGUCCUUCACAUACCCGCAGCUGUACCGACCUUGGGGUACCAGUACUCUGAUCGCUACAUCAGCAGCAGCAGGAAAAACACGAGAGGACACAACCAGAUAAAACCCUAAGACACAUGUUAUAGAAAAAAAAAGACAUACUCUCAAUUGACGUCAAACAGUCCAAUGACCAACUGCUACGAGAACAAGUACAAUGGUUCCUACUACAUCCCUCAUCAACAAAUGCGCACAACCCAAACCCACCGAUUACGAGUCGGGCAUACCACACACAUACACGCACACACAUAACCCAAACCCACCGAUUACGGGUCGGGCAUACCACACACAUUAUGACUUUUUAAGAUAUAACAAACGUAAAUGAUAAGUAAACCUACAUACAUUCGAGCCCUUGUAUUAACUUAUAAACCUUUUCGU